CUGGAGGUAUCAGAAGUGCGAAUGCUGACAUAAGUAACGAUAAAGCGGGUGAAAAGCCCGCUCGCCGGAAGACCAAGGGUUCCUGUCCAACGUUAAUCGGGGCAGGGUGAGUCGACCCCUAAGGCGAGGCCGAAAGGCGUAGUCGAUGGGAAACAGGUUAAUAUUCCUGUACUUGGUGUUACUGCGAAGGGGGGACGGAGAAGGCUAUGUUGGCCGGGCGACGGUUGUCCCGGUUUAAGCGUGUAGGCUGGUUUUCCAGGCAAAUCCGGAAAAUCAAGGCUGAGGCGUGAUGACGAGGCACUACGGUGCUGAAGCAACAAAUGCCCUGCUUCCAGGAAAAGCCUCUAAGCAUCAGGUAACAUCAAAUCGUACCCCAAACCGACACAGGUGGUCAGGUAGAGAAUACCAAGGCGCUUGAGAGAACUCGGGUGAAGGAACUAGGCAAAAUGGUGCCGUAACUUCGGGAGAAGGCACGCUGAUAUGUAGGUGAAGUCCCUUGCGGAUGGAGCUGAAAUCAGUCGAAGAUACCAGCUGGCUGCAACUGUUUAUUAAAAACACAGCACUGUGCAAACACGAAAGUGGACGUAUACGGUGUGACGCCUGCCCGGUGCCGGAAGGUUAAUUGAUGGGGU
rnacentral:rRNA from 1 species